rnacentral:rRNA from 1 species
GAUCAUGGCUCAGAUUGAACGCUGGCGGCAUGCCUUACACAUGCAAGUCGAACGGCAGCAUGGAGAGCUUGCUCUCUGAUGGCGAGUGGCGAACGGGUGAGUAAUACAUCGGAACGUGUCCGUUUGUGGGGGACAACCGUCCGAAAGGAUGGCUAAUACCGCAUAAGACCUGAGGUGAAGCGGGACGCAGCCGGCGCAGACGGAGCGGCCGAUGAUUGAUUAG